rnacentral:rRNA from 1 species
UGGCGGCGUGCUUAACACAUGCAAGUCGAACGCGAAAGGGGCUUCGGCUCCGAGUAGAGUGGCGCACGGGUGAGUAACGCGUGGAUGAUCUGCCCUGAUGUUGGGAAUAACAGUUGGAAACGGCUGCUAAUACCGAAUACGCUCCCCCUUUCACCAUGGGAGGAAAGACGGCCUCUGCUUGCAAGCUGUCGCAUGAGGAUGAGUCCGCGUCCCAUUAGCUAGUUGGUGAGGUAACGGCCCACCAAGGCGACGAUGGGUAGCCGAUUUGAGAGGAUGAUCGGCCACACUGGAACUGAAACACGGUCCAGACUCCUACGGGAGGCAGCAGUGGGGAAUAUUGCGCAAUGGGCGAAAGCCUGACGCAGCGACGCCGCGUGAGGGAUGAAGGGUUCCUUCGGAUCGUAAACCUCUGUCAGAAGGGAAGAAAGCAGCGGGUGCCAAUCAGCCUGCUGUUGACGGUACCUUCAAAGGAAGCACCGGCUAACUCCGUGCCAGCAGCCGC